AGCAGUGAGAGAAUCAGAGAGAAAGCAUUGAUUCGAAGCAGCGAGCAUAAAGAAAAAUGGUGAACUUCAUGCUGAUGAUCAAGGCGGAGCUUGAUAACAUCACCGACCUUCAGCCAAUGCGGCUGUGAUAAUGAUAACUUCCGUUACUACUUCAAGCUUAAGUGUGGCCAUUGUGGUGAGAUCACCCAAAAAGGAGACUUAUGUGAGGUUGGUUGAAACUGUUCCUCUUCCCUUUGGCAUGGGCCACACCCACCUUGUCCAGAAGUGCAAGUUCUGUAGCAGUGUUGGUACAGUAACCAUGAUCACUGGCCUCGGCCGUCCUCUGACUCAUGCUGAUAGUGAAGCUGGAAAAUGUGCACCUUUGAUGUUAUUUGAUUGCAGGGGUUUUGAGCAGCUGGAUUAUGUUUUCCGAGGAGAAUGGGAAGCUGAAUCUCUUAAGGGAACGAUAUUUGAAGGCAUUGAUUUAUCCGGAGAUGAGUUUGUUGAGUAUGAUGAGAGGGGGGAGGCUCCAGUGAUGACUUCCAGACCAAGUGCCACUUUUAAUAUAGUGAAGUAGAUCCUCCAUUGCUCUAUUGUGUGUUGCUGGUACAUAGAAAGGGAAGUAUAACUGUUUUGCACUGUCAGUGUGUAAGUUGCUAACGGCUGAGGAUGGGAGUGUUAGUUUUCGAUGUACAUUGACACGAACUACUUGCACGAACUUAGAUGGUAACUUCCAUGAAGAAAACCAUUGUUAUGGAUGUCAAUAUUGUCUUUCAGGCUUCUUCAGAAGCUCUUUUUAGAAAUUUAAUGUGAAAGCUUGUAAAACUGUUUGACUGGA